rnacentral:rRNA from 1 species
UACGUAGGGUGCGAGCGUUAAUCGGAAUUACUGGGCGUAAAGGGCGCGUAGGCGGCCUCGCAAGUCCCGUGUGAAAUCCCUCGGCUCAACUGAGGAAUGGCACGGGAAACUGCGGGGCUUGAGUUCGGGAGAGGGAAGCGGGAAUUCCGGGUGUAGCGGUGAAAUGCGUAGAUAUCCGGAGGAACACCGGUGGCGAAGGCGGCUUCCUGGACCGAUACUGACGCUGAGGCGCGAAAGCUAGGGGAGCAAACGGG